UCUGUGCCAGGCACUCUGCGUAACCUGCAGCAGAGUGGGGCCUGACACUGAUCCCCGCCCCACUUUCCAGCUGUGCAACCUUAGGCAUCUACUGCCUCUCUGAACCAAAGUCUUCUCAUCUGCAAAAUGAGAGACCGCCGUCUACUUCGUGGGAUUGCUGUGGGAGUUCGCUGAGAUAACGCUUAGCAUCCUGAGGGGUGUAAACGGCAGAGGGCAGAGCAACAGUCCUAAUGACACAGGACGAAAACAAGGCCCCUUGAAGGUCCGGGGAGGCGGCCGGCAAGCACCCGAGGAGGGGCCCUCCGCCCUCAAACCCUCCGGAG